AGUCAGAGCUGCUCGUCUGAGGCUGCUGAGGCGACGGCCGGUGUCGUGGUCGCGGUACCUGUUCCAACACGGCUCGCGGGCCCGUGCCGGCUCCGGUCCCCGGCGCGGCUGUCCGAGCCCCUGCGGCGGGCGGGCGAUGGUGUGGCGGAGCACGCGGACGCGGGCGGCGCGGCGGCGGGCAUGAAGGAGGAUGGAAGGGCAGGACGAGGUGUCGGCGCGGGAGCAGCACUUCCAUAGCCAAGUGCGGGAGUCCACGAUAUGUUUCCUUCUUUUUGCCAUUCUCUACGUUGUUUCCUACUUCAUCAUCACAAGAUACAAGAGAAAAUCAGGGAAUCCGAGCCCGCAUUUUAGAGACUUUGGUCAUGCUUCUUCUUCUUGCGUUACUCAUUCUUGGGAUAGUGUGGGUAGCUUCAGCACUCAUUGAUAAUGAUGCCGCAAGCAUGGAAUCUUUAUAUGAUCUCUGGGAGUUCUAUCUACCCUAUUUAUAUUCCUGUAUAUCAUUGAUGGGAUGUUUGUUACUUCU
rnacentral:sRNA from 1 species